GUACACGCUGUGACUAGCAUAUCAAUAAGCGGAGGAAAAGGAUCCCCCCUACGCUUAGGAUGUUGACACACGCGCGUGCUCGACUCUAUACAUGACUCUGCGCAUAUCAAUAAGCGGAGGAAAAGAAACUAACAAGGAUUCCCCUAGUAACGGCGAGUGAAGCGGGAAGAGCUCAAAUUUGAAAUCUUAAAGGGUUUCCCUUUACGAAUUGUAGUUUAAAGAAGUGUUUUCUGUUGAGGUUUUGGUAAAAGUUCUUUGGAAUAGGACAUCAUAGAGGGUGAGAAUCCCGUAUUUGACCUUUACUUUCAACUUUGUGAUACACUUUCAAAGAGUCGGAUUGUUUGGGAAUGCAGUCCAAAAUGGGUGGUAAAUUUCAUCUAAAGCUAAAUAUUGGCGAGAGACCUGAUAGCGAACAAGUACCGUGAGGGAAAGAUGAAAAGAACUUUGAAAAGAGAGUUAAACAGUACGUGAAAUUGUCAAAAGGGAAGCGUUUGACACCAGUGUUGUUUUUCUGAAAAUCAAUUAAAGAACUGUUUAUGCUAAGCUGUUUAGACUUUAUCAGCUAAUCUGUUUAGUUUUGAGCUUUUCUUUAAUGCACUUUUCAGUUAACAAGUCAACAUCAAUUUCUUUUGCUGUAAAAAAGCUUGAGGAAGGUGGCUUGAGAUUCGUCUUAAGUGUUUAUAGCCUCUUGCCUAUGCAGUCGGAGAGAUUGAGGUCUGCAGCGUAGAUCCUUCGGGGCUAAAUGCAUUUGUGCUAAGUUAUAGCAUUUUAUAGACAACUUGUUGACUAUGAUUUGUCUUGUAGCUUACUCGCUUAUGUUAUUUUACCUACGCUUAGGAUGUUGAUCUACAGAGCGAGAGU
rnacentral:rRNA from 1 species